AUUGGACUACCGUGGCAGUGACGGGUAACGGGGAAUAAGGGUUCGAUUCCGGAGAGGGAGCCUGAGAAACGGCUACCACAUCUAAGGAAGGCAGCAGGCGCGCAAAUUACCCAAUCCUGACUCAGGGAGGUAGUGACAAGAAAUAACAACACUGGAAAUUUUAUUUCUAGUGAUUGGAAUGAUGGGAAUUUAAACCCCUUUCAGAGUAACAAUUGGAGGGCAAGUCUGGUGCCAGCAGCCGCGGUAAUUCCAGCUCCAAUAGCGUAUAUUAAAGUUGUUGCAGUUAAAAAGCUCGUAGUUGGAUGUCUGCUGGAAGCAAUCAGUCCGCCCUAUUUGUAGGGUGUGCACUUGAUGAAUUCUGGCAUUUUUGUCCCAAUGAUGUAGCGGGGCGGUGGUAUUGGGUGAAAGCUCAAUAGCGUCUUUUCCGAUUAUUGGGAUACUGUUACUUUGAGAAAAUUAGAGUGUUUGAAGCAGGCUAAUUGCCUUGAAUACUGCAGCAUGGAAUAACAAUAUAGGAUUUCGGUUCUAUUUUGUUGGUUUCUAGGACUGAAAUAAUGAAUAAUAGGGACAGUUGGGGGCAUUCGUA
rnacentral:rRNA from 1 species